UCGCGAUCGGGAAAGAAGCCACGGAGGUCGGGAGCUGUCGGAGGCGGAGAGGCUGGAGGACGGAGUCAGCGCGGCGGCGAUGGCCGACCUUCUGAACUGUCUCUCAGCAGGCGAUCCAGGCUCAAAAUCUCUACUCCUCCCAGAUGAGAUUUUGGAGAAACUUGCCAAAGCAGGAUCGGGUUGUCGUUUGAAACAAGUACAGCCUCCUCCUUUGAGUGUGGAAUGCAUCUAGGAGACAGUUGCAAGGAAACGAAAGCUGGAGAAGAUCUUGAGAUGCGUGCCUACUGUACCAGUCAGCCAGCCAUCAAGCCACCUGUGGAUUGGCUGGAGUUCAAAUGGACAUUAUGACUUUGGUGGGAUUUUAUUGAUACCAAUAACAUAACUUUCCAUUCAUUUAUUGGUUUUUCAUGUAACAUUUACAUGCUUUUUGCAUGAAAAACUGACAAGCUCUAAUAUCAGAUUAAACAACAAGUUUCCAUCUU